rnacentral:rRNA from 1 species
CCCUUAGAUGUCCUGGGCCGCACGCGCGUUACACUGAGUGGAUCAGCGGGUCAGGUUGCGCGAAAGCGUUUCCUAAUCUUUAAAUCCGCUCGUGAUGGGGAUUGACGGUUGCAAUUUUCUGUCAUGAACGAGGAAUACCUUGUAAGCGCGGGUCAUCAUCCCGCGCUGAAUACGUCCCUGCCCUUUGUACACACCGCCCGUCGCUCCUACCGAUUGAGUGGUCCGGUGAGGCUUUGGGAUCUGAGCGGAAAGAGCGUUUCGCUGUUUCUGCUCGGAAAACUCAGUCGAACCUUAUCAUUUAGAGGAAGGAGAAGUCGUAACA